AUCCUGGCUCAGAUUGAACGCUGGCGGCGUGCCUAACACAUGCAAGUCGAGCGGUAACAGGUGUAGCAAUACAUGCUGACGAGCGGCGGACGGGUGAGUAACGCUUGGGAAUCUGCCUAUUAGUGGGGGACAACCCGGGGAAACUCGGGCUAAUACCGCAUACGCACCAUGGUGGAAAGCCGGGGACCGCAAGGCCUGGCGCUAAUAGAUGAGCCCAAGUCGGAUUAGCUAGUUGGUAGGGUAAUGGCCUACCAAGGCUACGAUCCGUAACUGGUCUGAGAGGACGACCAGUCACACCGGAACUGAGACACGGUCCGGACUCCUACGGGAGGCAGCAGUGGGGAAUAUUGGACAAUGGGGGAAACCCUGAUCCAGCGACGCCGCGUGGGUGAAGAAGGCCUGCGGGUUGUAAAGCCCUUUCAGUGGGGAAGAAAAGCCUCGAGUUAACACCUCGGGGUCUUGACGUAACCCAUAGAAGAAGCACCGGCUAACUCUGUGCCAGCAGCCGCGGUAAUACAGAGGGUGCGAGCGUUAAUCGGAAUUACUGGGCGUAAAGCGCGCGUAGGCGGCUUUGCAAGUCGGGUGUGAAAUCCCCAGGCUUAACCUGGGAACUGCAUUCGAGACUGCAUUGCUAGAGUAUGGGAGAGGGAAGUGGAAUUUCCGGUGUAGCGGUGAAAUGCGUAGAUAUCGGAAGGAACAUCAGUGGCGAAAGCGACUUCCUGGACCAAUACUGACGCUCAUGUGCGAAAGCGUGGGGAGCAAACAGGAUUAGAUACCCUGGUAGUCCACGCCAUAAACGAUGACAACUGGAUGUCGGGAGGGUCUGCCUCUCGGUGUCGUAGCUAACGCGUUAAGUUGUCCGCCUGGGGAGUACGGCCGCAAGGUUGAAACUCA
rnacentral:rRNA from 1 species